AUUGUCUAAAUACUAAAUCACACACGUGUCGACACAUUCUUCGGGGUGCCCUCAGCUGUUAACUGCGGGGUCGAAGACAUGGGAUACGUGGAGGUCUAAC
rnacentral:sRNA from 1 species